UCCGAAUUGGUGUAACGGUUAACAUUUGACGUUUUCACUCUUCCUUGCGACCCUGUGUUGUAAGGAAACUAGAAAUACCGUCAGGCUCGGGGUUCGAUUCCCCGAUUCGGAG